GACGAACGCUGGCGGCGUGCCUAAUACAUGCAAGUUGAGCGCUGAAGGUUGGUACUUGUACCAACUGGAUGAGCAGCGAACGGGUGAGUAACGCGUGGGGAAUCUGCCUUUGAGCGGGGGACAACAUUUGGAAACGAAUGCUAAUACCGCAUAAAAACUUUAAACACAAGUUUUAAGUUUGAAAGAUGCAAUUGCAUCACUCAAAGAUGAUCCCGCGUUGUAUUAGCUAGUUGGUGAGGUAAAGGCUCGCCAAGGCGAUGAUACAUAGCCGACCUGAGAGGGUGAUCGGCCACAUUGGGACUGAGACACGGCCCAAACUCCUACGGGAGGCAGCAGUAGGGAAUCUUCGGCAAUGGACGAAAGUCUGACUGAGCAACGCCGCGUGAGUGAAGAAGGUUUUCGGAUCGUAAAACUCUGUUGGUAGAGAAGAACGUUGGUGAGAGUGGAAAGCUCAUCAAGUGACGGUAACUACCCAGAAAGGGACGGCUAACUACGUG
rnacentral:rRNA from 1 species